GUGUUUCUACAAAGGUGAGAGAGGUGCCUCCUUGUGACUCCAGCUGAGCUACGGGAGAUAUCAGGGGGUUUCAUAAAAAAGAAAAAUUACCCCAAGACUUUCCCUGCCAGGGUCCUUUCUGUUGGAGGAAGUGUCCCCUUGGGAGAGAGAAGAGGACCAGAAUUUAGGCCUCAGAAGGGAAGGAUGAAGCCCCCAAAGUUGCCACCUUCUAGGGAGCCCAGACCUCAGGAUUUUGAGGAGUUGGCUCCAUCAGUGUCAAGAGAAAGAAGAGGGUUGUCAUCUCAGUUGACACAGGGGUGGAGGCCCGUGCGUGGGCCCCUGAAGUUUCUAGGGCUGACUCUUCCUAAUUUUCUGUGUGGCCUUGAACAAAUCCUCUCUCUGGAUGUCACUCGCACCUAAGAAGCCAGAUACUUCAGCCCCAGCAGCCCUCAACCAAUGAUUGAAGGGAUUGGUGUACAGAAGCCCCAGCUCCCUCACCUCUCGGGUGAGAUAACUUUGAGGCAAGUGUUUUACAUUGAUCCCUGUGCUUCCCCAGAGGGAUCAGGCUCCAGUUCCACUGUGGUAGCUGGCUUGAAAACAUGCCCAUUAUUGGCUGCCCUCCUUCCUUGUCUCACUUCCCCACUCCUCCCCACUCAUCUCUCCAAAUUUGAAUCUUCUUGCAUUAGAGUCCUGGGUUUGCUCCGGAAAGAAGCUCAACUAAAACUGAUCAGUGGUUACUUUUUAAUGGCUCCAUGUGAAUGUCCUAAAUAUUUCUCUCAACAGAUCCUGCAUUGCUGGACAUUGAAGUUGUUUCCUUUUUUUUCACUAUUAUAAACAAUCUUGUGGUGGACAUCCUUCUAGCUCAAUGGCUGUGUACAUUUUAAAUUAUUGCUUUAGAAACUAUUCUAGACAUAAAGCCACUGGUUCAAAAGACAUGCAUCGUUGUAGGGCUUUGAUAACUUUGUGGCAUCUGCAUUCUCCCCUUCUCAUCUUGUUCUAAUCUUGCCUUGCGUUCCACAGAAGGUACAGAGGGGCCAACCUUGGAUGUGCUCUGGAAUGAGGCUCCCUCACAGGGACUGGGAAAGGCAGAAUACAGGGAAUACAUGGCAGGAUGCAGGGAGACAG
rnacentral:lncRNA from 10 species